UACGGAGGGCGCGAGCGUUAUUCGGAAUCAUUGGGCGUAAAGCGCGUGUAGGCGGCUGUGCAAGUCGGAUGUGAAAGCCCGGGGCUCAACCCCGGAAUUGCAUUCGAAACUGCAUGGCUAGAGUCUCGGAGAGGAGGGCGGAAUUCCCGGUGUAGAGGUGAAAUUCGUAGAUAUCGGGAGGAACACCAGUGGCGAAGGCGGCCCUCUGGACGAUGACUGACGCUGAGACGCGAAAGCGUGGGGAGCAAACAGG
rnacentral:rRNA from 1 species